GUUCCACAACAACCAGUCCCUCUUAGUUCCACAACAACCAGUCCCUCUUAGUUCCACAACAACCAGUCCCUCUUCACUCCACAACAACCAGUCCCUCUUAGUUCCACAGCAACCAGUCCCUCUUAGUUCCACAACAACCAGUCCCUCUUAGUUUCACAGCAACCAGUCCCUGUUAGCUAAGACAGUACGUUCCCAAUAAAAACAUAAUUCCACCUUGACAUUAUGGGGUAGAUCAGUGACAAAACAAUCUUCCUUUCAAUCCAUUUCAAAUUCAGGCUGUAAACACAACAAACAUUAGGAUAAAGUCAACGGGUGUGAAGGCUCAAAGUAAACAAAACAUUAUGAACACCUGCUCUUUCCAUGACAGACUGACCAGGUGAAUCCAGGUGAAAGCUGUCAUCCCUUAUUGAUGUCACCUGUUAAAUCCACUUCAAUCAGUGUAGAUGAAUGGGAGGAGACGGGAUAAAGGAAGGAUUUUUAAGCCUUGAGACAUGGAUUGUGUCUGUGUGUCAUUCAGAGGGUGAAUGGGCAAGACAAAAUAUUUAAGUGCCUUUGAACGGGGUAUGGUAGUAGGAGGUGCCUUUGAACAGGGUAUGGUAGUAGGUGCCUUUGAACAGGGUGUGGUAGUAGGUGCCUUUGAACAGGGUAUGGUAGUAGGUGCCUUUGAACAGGGUAUGGUAGUAGGUGCCUUUGAACGGGGGUAUGGUAGUAGGUGCCUUUGAACGGGGGUAUGGUAGUAGGUGCCUUUGAACAGGGUAUGGUAGUAGGUGCCUUUGAAUGGGGGUAUGGUAGUAGGUGCCUUUGAACAGGGUAUGGUAGUAGGUGCCUUUGAAUGGGGGUAUGGUAGUAGGUGCCUUUGAACAGGGUGUGGUAGUAGGUGCCUUUGAAUGGGGGUAUGGUAGUAGGUGCCUUUGAACAGGGUGUGGUAGUAGGUGCCAGGCACACUGGUUGUGUCAAGAACUGCAACGCUGCUGAGUUUUUCACACUCAACAGUUUCCCGUGUGUAUCAAGAAUUGUCAACCACCUAGAGAAGUUCCAGCCAACUUGACGCAAUUGUGGAAAGCAUUGGAGUCAACAUGGGCCAGCAUCCCUGUGGAACGCUUUCAACACCUUGUAGAGGGGGGUGGAGCAACUCAAUAUUAGGAAGCUGUUCUUAAUGUUUUGUUCACUCAAUGUAGAUUGUACAGUAUAGUACAUUCCCUGAACAAAAGCAGGAUCUAGAUUAUACAGCUCUAUCUGAACAGAUGCUGGCAAACCUAAAGAGUCAUUCCAUUUGAUUCUUGAUGACAGUCCAUGAUGCUGCUAAACCUAAAGAGUCAUUCCAUUUGAUUCUUGAUGACAGUCCAUGAUGCUGCUAAACCUAAAGAGUCAUUCCAUUUGAUUCUUGAUGACAGUCCAUGAUGCUGCUAAACCUAAAGAGUCACUCCAUUUGAUUCUCGAUGACAGUCCCUGAUGCUGCUAAACCUAAAGAGUCACUCCAUUUGAUUCUUGAUGACAGUCCCUGAUGCUGCUAAACCUAAAGAGUCACUCCAUUUG
ensembl:lncRNA